rnacentral:lncRNA from 1 species
ACGUGUCCAUCUCACUCCAAACCUCACCAGGAAAACUCAGUGUGAUGAAAUGAAAAAGGUUUACCAGGAAAUCAAAGAGAAUGCAAAAGAAAAGAAAAGAAACAAACCAAAAGCAAAACAAAAAUGAAACGAAACAAAACAUCUAUAAAACAAAAUACAAAAUAAGAGCCCUAGGUCUUUACAGCCUCAUCUCUGAAGCCGUACUGCAUCUUAAAGCCUAUCUACCUCUCUGAAGGGACUUACCACAAGUGUGCAGCACAGGAACUUGUUCAUUGUGGUCGGUGGAAGAAACCUCAGCGAGCUGGGAAAUCAGGCAGAGAGUCAGCUAGUGUGCUCCAGCCUCCUAGCAGCCUGCUUACAUCCCUCAACAUUAAAGACACGAUAUAUAUAUAGUCCCGGUGUAACAGGAAGCUUUGGCUCAGCUUUGAUCACUCAUUCCCUACCAUGACCAAACUUUUCUCUCUCUCUCUCUCUCUUUUUUUUUUUUUUUUUUUUUUUAAGGAACCUGUAAAACUUGAUGACUUAAUGGAACCCUUUGAGUGCUGUUAACCACAGACUGGAAAAUGAGGAGGGAGUGUCAGGGGCUGGCCAGGGGAGGGUUUAAUUGGGCUCUUGUCUGUCUGUCUGUCUGUCUAUCCCUCCCCCCCCCCUUUUUUUUUUCUCCCCUACGCAGCUGGCUUGGCAGGGAGACACGUGCCUCCAGGACAACACGUCUCAGCAACCAGGCUUAUAGGGCACUUGUUUAAAAAAUCACUGCUGGCAGCCGAGCUGUGGGCUCUGCAGCCCCACAGCCAGCUCUCACAGGGGGCCUGGAGCUCACCCAGGGCUGCCAUUUCUUGCAGAUCCCGUGGGCCCCUUUCUGCCCAACUCCCCAGGGAUUUCCAGGAGAGAGGCUGGCUGGGAAACAAAGGUCUGGAGAACUGCCAUAGGGCUUUGCCCCAUUAG